GAUGAACGCUAGCGACAGGCUUAACACAUGCAAGUCGAGGGGCAGCACAGGUAGCAAUACCGGGUGGCGACCGGCGCACGGGUGAGUAACGCGUAUGCAACUUACCUAUCAGAGGGGGAUAACCCGGCGAAAGUCGGACUAAUACCGCAUGAAGCAGGGGUCCCGCAUGGGGAUAUUUGCUAAAGAUUCAUCGCUGAUAGAUAGGCAUGCGUUCCAUUAGGCAGUUGGCGGGGUAACGGCCCACCAAACCGACGAUGGAUAGGGGUUCUGAGAGGAAGGUCCCCCACAUUGGUACUGAGACACUGACCAAACUCCUACGGGAGGCAGCAGUGAGGAAGAUUGAUCAAUGGCCGAGAGGCUGAACCAGCCAAGUCGCGUGAGGGAUGAAGGUUCUAUGGAUCGUAAACCUCUUUUAGAAGGGAAUAAAGUGCGGGACGUGUCCCGUUUUGUAUGUACCUUAUGAAUAAGGAUCGGCUAACUCCGUG
rnacentral:rRNA from 1 species